rnacentral:tRNA from 1 species
ACAUCGGUGGUUCAGUGGUACAAUUCUUGUCUUCCAUGCAGGAGACCUGGGUUUGAUUCCUGACCAAUGCA